rnacentral:rRNA from 1 species
UACAGAGGUCUCAAGCGUUGUUCGGAUUCAUUGGGCGUAAAGGGUGCGUAGGUGGCGCUGUAAGUCGGGUGUGAAAUUUCGGAGCUUAACUCCGAAACUGCAUUCGAUACUGCGGUGCUUGAGGACUGGAGAGGAGACUGGAAUUCAUUGGUGUAGCAGUGAAAUGCGUUAGAGAUCAUGAGGAAGACCAGUGGCGAAGGCGGGUCUCUGGACAGUUCCUGACAGCUGAUGCGCGAAAGCCAGGGGAGCGAACGGG